rnacentral:misc_RNA from 1 species
ACAACACGCCCAUCAUCAAUAUUCAUGCGUGGUCCAUACGUGUUAAAAAUUCUAGCAAUGCGAAUUUCUAUCCCAUGCUGCCUAUGAUAAUCAAACAUCAAGGUCUCAGCCACACGCUUUCCCUCAUCAUAGCAGCUCCGAACCCCAAUUGGGUUAACAUUACCCCAGUAGCUCUCUGGCUGAGGGUGCACAAGAGGAUCACCAUAUACCUCUGAAGUUGAUGUAAGCAAAAUUCUUGCUCCAACUCGCUUGGCAAGACCCAGCAUGUUCAGUGUGCCAAUCACAUUUGUUUUUAUUGUCUUCACGGGAUUAUAUUUAUAGAAAAUGGGAGAAGCAGGGCAUGCAAGAUGGUAAAUCUGAUCAACCUCAAUCAACAAUGGCUCCGUGACAUCAUGACGAAUGAGUUCAAAUCUUGGAUGGCCAAUCCAUUUUUUAAGAUUGUCCUUUGAUCCAGUAAAGUAGUUAUCAGCAACUAUUACCUCAUUUUUCUCAUUUUCCAUUAGUUUGUCAACCAGAUGUGAUCCAAUGAAUCCAGCUCCUCCAGUAACCAAAAUUCUCAUAUUGGACUGAAAAAACUUGGAGUUGCGCAAAGGAGAAGGCGUUGGAGGUGGCUUAGUCGUUGUUUGGUACUCCCCAUUUGAAGAAUUGGUCGCCAUUUUUCAGAUCUCAAUCACCUGAUGACAAUGAACUACAAAGGAAAAUAACCCAAAACCGAGACUUGCUUUCUUGUGAUUCACAACACUGAAGGGAUCAGAGACUGAUAUUUAUAGUCCAAAAAUCGAAACUUCACCCACCAAAUAGAAAGUAAUAAUAGAGUGUGUCCUUGAUGAAAGCUCCUCCGUAACAAAUACCAAAAACCCA